rnacentral:rRNA from 1 species
AACGAACGCUGGCGGCAUACCUAACACAUGCAAGUCGAACGAAGGCUUCGGCCUUAGUGGCGCACGGGUGCGUAACGCGUGGGAAUCUGCCCUUGGGUUCGGAAUAACUGGAAGAAAUUCCAGCUAAUACCGGAUGAUGACGAAAGUCCAAAGAUUUAUCGCCCAGGGAUGAGCCCGCGUAGGAUUAGCUUGUUGGUGAGGUAAAGGCUCACCAAGGCGACGAUCCUUAGCUGGUCUGAGAGGAUGAUCAGCCACACUGGGACUGAGACACGGCCCAGACUCCUACGGGAGGCAGCAGUGGGGAAUAUUGGACAAUGGGCGAAAGCCUGAUCCAGCAAUGCCGCGUGAGUGAUGAAGGCCUUAGGGUUGUAAAGCUCUUUUACCCGGGAUGAUAAUGACAGUACCGGGAGAAUAAGCCCCGGCUAACUCCGUGCCAGCCGCCGCCGUAAGAC